rnacentral:rRNA from 1 species
UACAGAGGUGGCAAGCGUUGUUCGGAUUUAUUGGGCGUAAAGGGUCCGUAGGCGGUCCGUAAAGUCUGAUGUGAAAGCCCACAGCUCAACUGUGGAACUGCAUUGGAAACUCACGGACUAGAGUAUGAGAGGGGUAAAGGGAAUUCCCGGUGUAAGGGUGAAAUCUGCAGAGAUCGGGAGGAACACCAGUCGCGAAGGCGCUUUACUGGCUCAUUACUGACGCUCAGGGACGAAAGCUAGGGGAGCAAACGGG